CAAGUCGAACGAAUCCCGUGGGGGUAACUCUGCGGGGGAAGUGGCGAAAGGGGCAGUAAAGCGUGGGUAACCUACCCCGGGGAUCGGGAUAGCCGUCCUAACGGACGGGUAAUACCGGGCGAUCUGGCGUGGAGGCAUCUUCGUGCCAGGAGAUGAAUUUCGCCUCGGGAGGGGCUCACGUAGUAUUAGCUUGUUGGUGGGGUAACGGCCCACCAAGGCCAAGAUGCUUAGCGGGUGUGAGAGCACGACCCGCGCCACUGGCACUGAGACACUGGCCAGACUCCUACGGGAGGCUGCAGUCGAGGAUCUUCGGCAAUGGGCGCAAGCCUGACCGAGCGACGCCGCGUGUGCGAUGAAGGCCUUCGGGUUGUAAAGCACUGUCGAGGGGGAGAAAAGCCCGCAAGGGUCUGAUCUAUCCCUGGAGGAAGCACGGGCUAAGUUCGUGCCAGCAGCCGCGGUAAGACGAACCGUGCGAACGUUGUUCGGAUUCACUGGGCUUAAAGGGCGCGUAGGCGGGUUAUCAAGUCGGGGGUGAAAUCUUUCAGCUCAACUGGAAAAGUGCCUUCGAUACUGAUGAUCUUGAGGGAGGUAGGGGCAUGUGGAACUUCCGGUGGAGCGGUGAAAUGCGUAGAUAUCGGAAGGAACGCCGGUGGCGAAAGCGACGUGCUGGACCUCUUCUGACGCUGAGGCGCGAAAGCCAGGGGAGCGAACGGGAUUAGAUACCCCGGUAGUCCUGGCCCUAAACGAUGGGUACUAGGUUGUGGACUUGACAUGGGUUCACAGCCGAAGCCAAAGUGUUAAGUACCCCGCCUGGGGA
rnacentral:rRNA from 1 species